AAGUCGCUGAGAAUUUCUCGAAAUGCGUUCUUUACGUAACAUGUGAACCUUGCAUAAUGUGUGCAUCGACCUUAUCCUUCCUCGGUAUAAAGGAAGUAUAUUAUGCAUGCGGUAAUGAUAAAUUUGGGGUUGUGGUUCUAUAUUGUCGCUUCACUUAGAGUGUUCUCAGACAUAAGAUAUCCUUUUGAAGAAGCUCAAAGAGGAAAAGGGUACAAGUGCAGAGGAAUAAUGGCAGACGAAGCUGUAUCUCUUUUCAAAUGUUUCUAUGAGAGGCAAUCCAUACAUUUUAGCCCCAAAGCCACACCGCCCUGUAGUUCAAAUAGAGAGGACUUAGCAUCUUAGAGGCGAACAUGGUUUGAAAAUUGGAGUUUCUGAUUAAAAUAUGAAGAAGUUGAGGUGGAGGUUGUCAAAUGAUGAUUCUAUGUUUGAUUUUGCUACUUUUGGCACAUGAAACGUUAUCAGUUACAUCCAAAACAUUUGUUUAUCUGCCUAAGUUGGAGAUCUCAAUCUUAAGCUACUAAGUUGGUUUUCUAACUUAAGGAAUUAGUUGUCUGUGACUGUAACGUUUUCUUAGAUGAUAGACAUGACCAUCAUUAGAAGAAUAAAAGAUUAACUCUGUUUUUAUCUUUUUCUUUGGAUCAAAUCUCUGUUUUAAUCUCUUUCCUUUAACCCUGACAAGCAACACUCUUAACAUACUUAUUUUUUCUACCCAUAUUGGUUGGUUUUAUGGUUAAUUUGUCAAGUAAACACACAAGUGUUCAAAAUGCAUGUAUAGAUAAUAUUU